rnacentral:rRNA from 1 species
CCCGAUAGCGACAAGUACCGUGAGGGUAAAGAUGAAAGCACUUUGGAAAGAGAGUAAAACAGUACGUGAAAUGUGAAAGGGAAUCGCUUGAAGUCAGUCGCGUCUGCCGGAACUCAGCUUGCUUCUGCUCGGUGCACUUUCCGGUUCGACGGGCCAGCAUCGGUUUCGGGUGGCGGACACUGGCGUGGGGAAGGUGGCAGCUCCGGCUGUGUUAUAGCCCCGCGUCGCAAACGCCUCCUGGGACCGAGGAAUCCGGCGCAAGCGUGGGAUGCUGGCGUAAUGGCUUUAAACGACCCGUCUUGAAACACGGACCAAGGAGUGCUACACGCUCGCGAGUGUUUGGGUGGAAAACCCGAACGCGCAAUGAAAGUGAAAGUCGAUACCCCUCGCGGGGGCACCGACGCCCGAGCCUGAUGUUUUCGGAAGGCCUUGCGGUAGAGCGAGUGCGUUGCGACCCGAAAGAUGGUGAACUAUUCCUGAGGAGGGCGAAGCCAGAGGAAACUCUGGUGGAGGCUCGUAGCGGUUCUGACGUGCAAAUCGAUCGCAGGACUUGGG